ACACAGGUGGUCAGGUAGAGAAUACCAAGGCGCUUGAGAGAACUCGGGUGAAGGAACUAGGCAAAAUGGUGCCGUAACUUCGGGAGAAGGCACGCUGAUAUGUAGGUGAAGCGACUUGCUCGUGGAGCUGAAAUCAGUCGAAGAUACCAGCUGGCUGCAACUGUUUAUUAAAAACACAGCACUGUGCAAACACGAAAGUGGACGUAUACGGUGUGACGCCUGCCCGGUGCCGGAAGGUUAAUUGAUGGGGUUAGCGGUAACGCGAAGCUCUUGAUCGAAGCCCCGGUAAACGGCGGCCGUAACUAUAACGGUCCUAAGGUAGCGAAAUUCCUUGUCGGGUAAGUUCCGACCUGCACGAAUGGCGUAAUGAUGGCCAGGCUGUCUCCACCCGAGACUCAGUGAAAUUGAACUCGCUGUGAAGAUGCAGUGUACCCGCGGCAAGACGGAAAGACCCCGUGAACCUUUACUAUAGCUUGACACUGAACAUUGAGCCUUGAUGUGUAGGAUAGGUGGGAGGCUUUGAAGUGUGGACGCCAGUCUGCAUGGAGCCGACCUUGAAAUACCACCCUUUAAUGUUUGAUGUUCUAACGUUGGCCCGUAAUCCGGGUUGCGGACAGUGUCUGGUGGGUAGUUUGACUGGGGCGGUCUCCUCCUAAAGAGUAACGGAGGAGCACGAAGGUUGGCUAAUCCUGGUCGGACAUCAGGAGGUUAGUGCAAUGGCAUAAGCCAGCUUGACUGCGAGCGUGACGGCGCGAGCAGGUGCGAAAGCAGGUCAUAGUGAUCCGGUGGUUCUGAAUGGAAGGGCCAUCGCUCAACGGAUAAAAGGUACUCCGGGGAUAACAGGCUGAUACCGCCCAAGAGUUCAUAUCGACGGCGGUGUUUGGCACCUCGAUGUCGGCUCAUCACAUCCUGGGGCUGAAGUAGGUCCCAAGGGUAUGGCUGUUCGCCAUUUAAAGUGGUACGCGAGCUGGGUUUAGAACGUCGUGAGACAGUUCGGUCCCUAUCUGCCGUGGGCGCUGGAGAACUGAGGGGGGCUGCUCCUAGUACGAGAGGACCGGAGUGGACGCAUCACUGGUGUUCGGGUUGUCAUGCCAAUGGCACUGCCCGGUAGCUAAAUGCGGAAGAGAUAAGUGCUGAAAGCAUCUAAGCACGAAACUUGCCCCGAGAUGAGUUCUCCCUGACUCCUUGAGAGUCCUGAAGGAACGUUGAAGACGACGACGUUGAUAGGCCGGGUGUGUAAGCGCAGCGAUGCGUUGAGCUAACCGGUACUAAUGAACCGUGAGGCUUAACCUUACAACGCCGAAG
rnacentral:rRNA from 1 species